ACACUCUUUCUUCCACACACGUGUCGAUCGAUAAUUGGUUAUACAGGAUUCAUUUUCCUUUUGGAGUGUGGACCCUCUACCUUAGACAGAGAGUUCGUGCAGAGACUAAUAUGGCUGCUGCUGACCUGUCUCGCUCAAAGCAACGUCGUCGUUUUAAAAUUUGCCCAGCUCAAAAAUUUAGACGUAAAUUCCAAAGAUUGUUUUUGUGGUCGA